rnacentral:lncRNA from 1 species
AUGUUCUUCCUCUCUGGGUCGGCUCUUUGGAAAAGCUCCGUCCUCUGGUCACCAGUAGGUCCUUUGCUGUCUGGCCAGCGCGCUGUGCUCAGAGGCGGGCUUCCCGUGGGCGCACGGUCGCGGCCAACCUUCCCGCGCGAGCUCCCGGGUGUUCUGCUUCUGGCCUCGCCAUUCAGGAGGCCCCUCGGGCCGACGGCGCGGGCACCCGGACGGCGUAACCGGACGAGCCUCGGCCCGCGGUUAGAGGUGAAUGGGCGGCAGCCGGCGGGCUCGAGAGACAGGAUGCGCCGAGGAGGAUGCACCCGGCAGGGCGCACGGCGCGGCGCGCGCGGAGCUCGGCGCGCGGUGCCUUCAACACCAUGGACAGGUCGCGCGAUCGGGGCUCACCACCAGCCCCGCAGCCAGCCCCGGGGGCGUCAUGCCGGUCUCCCCAGCGCAGUCUCCUUCCUGAGUAUCCACCCGAGAGGUUCCGGACCCGCCUCUCCCGCGAUGCCUCUGCCUCACUUCAUCUGGCUCCCAAGUAGCCCCAGGAACCUGCUGCUCAGGUGCAAAGAAAAUGCUGCAGGCACCGAGGAAAACAGCGGUCCCGGCCCUUCAAAACAAUCCGCCCCCUUCUCCCGCCACAGCCCGGCACUGGAGCUGUCUGCUCUGCCCAACUGGGGUCAGCCGCUCUCAGACUGCACCAUUUUCUUCGCAGCCCACCCAGGAGCCGAGGCGCCGGCUCACUUGGCGGCGCGCGGAGAAUCGCGUCCGGGCCUCGGCGUCCCGCGAUCAGGCUCCCAGCGCGCGGCGGCCGCCGAGAUGUUCACCUCCUGGACUGAGGAGUCAUGGUCUAUGUGGACAGUAUCUUGUUCUACUCCCUGACCUGACAUCUGAUCUCUGGAUCCUGUAAGUGUUUGAUCACCAGUUCCAUCAUCUGUUAGGGACUGUUUAUGUCCCCUCAAAAUUCACAUGUUGAAGUUCUAAACCCAAUGUGGUAGUAUUUGGAGACGGGCCUUGGAGAGGUAUUUAGGUUUAGAUGAGGUCAUAAGGGUGGUGUCCCCAUGAUGGGAUCAGACAUCACAAAGCUCGCCUUCCUCUCUCUGUCCCUGCCACAUGAGGACAAAGAGAAAGUGGUCACCCUUAAGCCAGGAAGAUAGUUCUCAUCAGAACUCAAUCAUUCCAACACAAUGAUCUUGGACUUCGCCUACGGAACUGUGAGAAAUUAAAUUUCUAUUUUUUAAGCCACACAGUUGAUGGGAUUUUGGGUGGCAGCCCAAGCAGAUUAAGACAGCACAAUCCCCGUAACAAUUUAACAGAACCCAAGUUUGGACCAUGAUGUGGAGUGUCUCCUCCCCAUCUUCCUGAUCAAGUGCGAUUAUCCACAUGUUGCUGGACAGGGCAUUAGUAGUUCUGGGAUAGGACAGGACAGGCCCCAAUUUCCCUUCCUAGAUAUUGCUAUUUCCUGGAAUUUUCUGUUUAUUACCAGUAGUUCUAGCUCUCUCUCUCUCUCUUCUCACCUUGACAGCUAUGGUUGCUGACCUCAUUCAUUUCUUCCACAUUUGCAUGUGCAAGCACUCUCCUAGGUUCUUGAAGAAACAUAAGUGAAAAACCAGGAAAGAUUCCUGACCUCAUAGAGCUUAUAUUCUAGUAGUGAGAGACAAAAAAUAACCAACUUAAUAAAAAAAUAAGUCAUGUAGUAUUGUAGAAGAUG